rnacentral:lncRNA from 1 species
AGUAACCGAUACCCAACCCUAGUAAUGAUGGAGCCCACCUGAUGUUUGUCUUGUUUUUUAACUGCCCUAGCGAUGCGUUUCCAUCUGCUGAAGCACACACGACUGAAUGUGGUGACGUUCCUCAACGAGCUGCCAAAAACUCAGCAUGACAUCAUCUCUUUCACCAUGGACGUAAACGCCUACACAGUGAGUUCACGUCUGAUCUGCCACACACUGAGUUACAUCAUUUAUGUUGUUCACUCAGCCAAACUGCUUUGUUUUCACAGAAUAUGCUGCUGUCAUUCACAGUGGGCGGAGUCUUCAAAGAAGGUCAGUAUCUUAGUCGUCAUGGUUUUAAGAAGAUCCACUGCAACUCAUCUAUUCUCACUAACGCUUUCCUGGGUUUUUCAGUUGUUGUAGAUGAUAAAUCUAAAGAAUCUACAAGGUUUUCAUCACAGUUCCAGCAGUGGAUUCUGGUUUGUGCAUCAUCAACGACCAGCUCUUCAUCAGAAUGGCUACAACGGAGCAGAUCAGCAGAGCUUUUGUGCCCCGCCCCCUUCCUCCAGCCCAGUGCCCACCCUCACUGCCCCACAGCAGGAGAUGCUCAGCACCUUCUCCCUGAAGUCAGACAUGAACCUGGAAUGGUCCCUGAAGUAGGUGUCCUCUCCUAAUGACGUCUACCAGACUAGGAUGAAUGUCACAGCUCACUGAUAAACACUGUCUGUGUGUUGCAGGUGUCUGCAGGACAACAAGUGGGACUUGAACAAAGCAAAACUGUUUUCCAAAUAUUUUCAC